GGAAGUGUGCCUGAAAAAUUAAGGAUCUCCUUGAUAGGGAGCACUACAGAGGCUAAAAUCCUCUCUCUUCCU
rnacentral:tRNA from 1 species